UGGGGAAUAUUGGACAAUGGGCGCAAGCCUGAUCCAGCCAUGCCGCGUGGGUGAUGAAGGCCUUAGGGUUGUAAAGCCCUUUCGGCGGGGAAGAUAAUGACGGUACCCGCAGAAGAAGCCCCGGCUAACUUCGUGCCAGCAGCCGCGGUAAUACGAAGGGGGCUAGCGUUGCUCGGAAUUACUGGGCGUAAAGCGCACGUAGGCGGCUUGUUAAGUCGGGGGUGAAAUCCCGGAGCUCAACUCCGGAACUGCCUUCGAUACUGGCAAGCUCGAGUCCGGGAGAGGUGAGUGGAACUGCGAGUGUAGAGGUGAAAUGCUUAGAUAUGACAUGGAACACCAAUUGCGAAGGCAGCUUACUAUGCGGUGAUUGACACUGAGGCACGAAAGCGUGGGUAGCAAACA
rnacentral:rRNA from 1 species